rfam:Peptococcaceae bacterium CEB3 CEB3_contig000031, whole genome shotgun sequence.
GUCAACUACCCCCACUUAACGCCUAGCGGCGUUUGAAGUGGGGGCUUGGGGAAACGUGUAAGCCAGGCUUAUACGCCCUCAGGCCCGGUUGAUUAUGCCUUAGUGGUCGGGAUGUUUACCGAAAGGGGACAGCGAACCACUACGUUAAGCCGGAAUAGAUAGGCACCCUGGGAUCCUCCACACGUUCCAGGCUCUGCGGCGGGUGUUUAAACAUCUCUGAGGGUAGGAGAAGUGAUGUCCGCUUAAACCCGGCAUUAACAUUGGCAAUGUGGACCGAC